GACGAACGCUGGCGGCGUGCCUAAUACAUGCAAGUUGAGCGAUGAAGCUUGGUGCUUGCACCAAUUUGAAGAGCAGCGCACGGGUGAGUAACGCGUGGAGAAUCUGCCUUUGAGCGGGGGACAACAUUUGGAAACGAAUGCUAAUACCGCAUAACAACUUUAAACAUAAGUUUUAAGUUUGAAAGAUGCAAUUGCAUCACUCAAAGAUGAUCCCGCGUUGUAUUAGCUAGUUGGUGAGGUAAAGGCUCACCAAGGCGAUGAUACAUAGCCGACCUGAGAGGGUGGUUGGCCGCAUUGGGACUGAGACACGGCACAAACUCCUACGGGAGGCAGCAGUAGGGCAUCUUCGGCCAGGGACGAAAGUCUGACCGAGCAACGCCGCGUGAGUGAAGAAGGUUUUCGGAUCGUAAAACUCUGUUGGUAGGGAAGAACGUUGGUGAGAGUGGAAAGCUCAGCAAGUGACGGUAACUACCCAGAAAGGGACGGCUAACUACGUG
rnacentral:rRNA from 1 species